rnacentral:rRNA from 1 species
GAUCAUGGCUCAGAUUGAACGCUGGCGGCAGGCCUAACACAUGCAAGUCGAACGGUAACAGGAAGAAGCUUGCUUCUUUGCUGACGNGUGGCGGACGGGUGAGUAAUGUCUGGGAAACUGCCUGAUGGAGGGGGAUAACUACUGGAAACGGUAGCUAAUACCGCAUAACGUCGCAAGACCAAAGAGGGGGGACCUUCGGACCUCUUGCCAUCGGAUGUGCCCAGAUGGGAUUAGCUAGUAGGUGGGG